UGGAGGAGGAUCUGGGCUGUCGGUGGGUUUGGGACUAAGCGCAGGAAGCGGCUUCGCACACUGCGAGGAGCCCGGGGUGGCCAGGCGGCGUGGGGAGCCGGUUGCUGAAACUGAAAGGAGUAGAGGAACCAGUACUUUAAUUUUGCGUGGAGCGUUUGGAAAAUUACUGCAAUGCUGUAAAUCAGAGCCUCAGUUAAGUUCGGUAGCUGUAGUGGGAGGGAAGUGGAAGAAUCCAGUGACAGCCACCAGAGUUUUAGAAAAUGCAGAGUUUGAUGCUCUUCUGUAGAAGAGGAUAUAUUUAAACCCACAUUCGUCUGAAGGAUCAGUGUUUAUCCUAAAUAUCACGGUUUAACAUCCCAAAAAGUAUAAGAGGCAGACGUACAAAUGUCUACCACAAGACUAAAGUGUGACAUGUUAUGUUCUUUACCAUAAGGACCCAUAAAAUGAGCUCCAUUAC